rnacentral:rRNA from 1 species
GAUGAACGCUGGCGGCGUGCCUAAUACAUGCAAGUCGAGCGAACAGACGAGGAGCUUGCUCCUCUGACGUUAGCGGCGGACGGGUGAGUAACACGUGGAUAACCUACCUAUAAGACUGGGAUAACUUCGGGAAACCGGAGCUAAUACCGGAUAAUAUAUUGAACCGCAUGGUUCAAUAGUGAAAGACGGUUUUGCUGUCACUUAUAGAUGGAUCCGCGCCGCAUUAGCUAGUUGGUAAGGUAACGGCUUACCAAGGCGACGAUGCGUAGCCGACCUGAGAGGGUGAUCGGCAACAUUGGAACUGAGACACGGUCCAGACUCCUACGGGAGGCAGAAGUAGGGAAUCUUCCGCAAUGGGCGAAAGCCUGACGGAGCAACGCCGCGUGAGUGAUGAAGGUCUUCGGAUCGUAAAACUCUGUUAUUAGGGAAGAACAAAUGUGUAAGUAACUAUGCACGUCUUGACGGUACCUAAUCAGAAAGCCACGGCUAACUACGUG